AUAGAGCUGUACAACGCUCCCGAGGGCCGCUACAAGCAGGACGUGUACUUGCUGCCUAAAAAAAUGGACGAGUACGUGGCCAGCCUGCACCUGCCCACGUUCGACGCGCACCUGACGGAGCUGACGGACGAGCAGGCCAAGUACCUGGGGCUCAACAAGAACGGACCUUUCAAACCCAACUACUACAGAUACUGAGUUCCUGCCGCCGCAUCCCGGAGAAUCGCCAGGAGCUGCGACAAGCACCCGAGUCUUUCUCAACUACUGUACAGGAUGAAACCGCGCAAGCUUCCCACGCUAGAGCCGGGCUUGCUGCCAUAGUCGACAGUGUGUUUUAGGUUAUUUAUUUAUUAAAUUAGGAUACUGUUCACGUGGCCUCUGCCACUGGUGUUCGUCCUGCCGCGGGACUGGGAGACGCUGGAUUUUCUUUCCGUUCCUUUCAUUUUCCUCUUUGGGUUCGUUCUUUUUUCGGGGCUGGGAGGAGGGGGAAGGCGAGGAGGAAGCUGCUGGAAUCGAGCCGUGGAAUAGUCCCUUGUCCCUGCUCACCCCCGCGCACGGCGGGACCCGGCCUGGCAGCCAGGGAAUCCCCGGCCGUUCGACAACAGAGCCAAACUCCUCGUGGGCUCCGGAGCUGCCUCGGGAGCAGAGAAGCCUCUCCGCCUCUCCGUGUGCCCUGGAAGUGCCCGGGGCCGUGCCCGGCCGGGGAACCUCGCCUUAGCACUGCCCGGAGCCGUGCCCAAGGGUCAGCGCCGGCCCGGGGAGAUCCCCGAGCGCUCCCCUGGCCGCAGCCCCGCGGCGUUUUCCUGCUGCUGUCGUUCCGAGUGCCAACCUCUCUGGAUCAACCAAAGUCGUGUUCCCGGCGGGGCCGGGGCAGCCCCGCGCUGCUGGAAGGGGCUCCUCGCCCACCGAUGCUGCUCACGCGCCGGCGGCUCCGCCACGCCGAGCGGAGCUCGCCCGGCCGCCCGGCUGGGAGGACCCAGGUCCUUCUCCAGCUGAAUUUCGGAGUUUUGUUUUCUGCUCACAUUUGUACGAAUCUGGAAUUCCCCUUUGGAAUGUAUGAGACGCCCGCCGGAGCGACCCCCGCGGAUUCUGUGCGAGGGGAGAGUUCAGCAUCGCUGAAACCCUUUGGUCACCUCGACGUGUCAGAGCCGAUGGAGACUAAAUUUGCCAGAGUUCCCUGUUUUAUCCCAGGAUGUCCCAGCUGAGCACAGGACAGCGUGACCCGUAGCAAGGUGACUCCCCAAGUGCCGGUGUCUGCGUGGAGUCACUCCUGUCCCUCGUGGAGAACGUGAUCCUGCUGAAAUAAAACUGCCCAGCCCCCUGAGCACAGAAGCCUCUGUCCUCCCUGUUGGCUCCGGAGUCUCUCCUCGGCUGCAGAUCCGUGUUUUGUCCUCCUGGGCUUCUUUGCUGUCAUGGAGAACUUUUUUGUGGCAGCUCGUUCACGCACAAGGAAGGGAAAACGGAGGAAUUGCAUCCUCACGUCCUUCCCACGGCUCUUAGGAGAUUUGGAGUCAGGUUGGCCACAAGUCGCUCCUCUCCAGAGCAAAUGCUCCCAUGUGCCGGCUUAUUCCAAGCUUCUCUUUGAAAUCUCUCAAAAUCAGGAAGGAAAACCUUGAGAAGAGCUUGAGGAAACCUUGAAGAGGGCCUUGGGAAGGCGUCAGGGCUUUGCCAAGGCCUUGUGGAGACCUUCAGGCUUCGAGAAGCUUCCGGGAGACUGAUUGCUAACCACAGACUCGCUCUCUGCUCGUUCAUUUUUCCCCGAUCCCGAGAUGUUCUGGGAAGAAUCCCCUGAGCUCUUUGAAACAUCACACCCAAGGCUUUCUCCCCAAGCUGGAUCCUGGUCUGUCAGCCCCUGCUGUUUUCUGGGAGCUGCUCCUGGCCCAGGGGAGAUGCAGCUGUGGGAAGAACGGGAAUCCCAUCCCAACCCAAGCACAGCCACUUCCCCCUGGAAAAGCCCCUUUCAUCCUGACCCCUCUCAUCCCCAGAGCUGCCUCCCGCCCUGUGCCUGCUCUGCACAGCCCCAGAUCCCUCCGUGCCCCGUUCUAACCUCCUUUUAUCUUCCAGGUAGAUAGGAAGGGAAAAAAAAUAUAUAUAUUAAUACUAAAAUCCCAACUGGCUUUUCCCACCUCGAUUUUUAAAGCUCUUCUCCAUGUUCUGCUUCUCCUGUAAAAGCUUAUUGGCUCGCUUGGCUUUUUUCCUAAUCAACCUGGAAUCAUAUCCUAUGAUCAUCUCUAAAUUAAACGUGUAAUGGGGUUUGGUUUCUUUUUUUUUUAAAUGUAACACAUUUUUCAAGACUUAGGAAAAAAGGAGAUUUUAGGUAACACCAGCAAAAUCGCAUAAAGGAAAUUAAUUCUGUUCUGAACUUUAGAGAUAAUAAGACAAAAGUCGUCCUCAGCAGUGAGGAAACGAAAACGUCGCAACCGUAACAUUUCAGAAGGAUGUUUUAAAUAUUAAUGUCUGAGUGAUUGUAUUAGAUCAGCAAUAAAGACUCUGUAAUCUCAAAACACAAAUAAAACAUUGGAAAACUCA